CGCGAAAACUUUACAAUGCGGGAAACCGUGAUAAGGGAAUCUCGAGUGCCAGCAUAUAAUGUUGGCUGUCCAGAUGCCUAAAAAGCAUCUGUUAGCAAGGGCCGGGCAAGACCGGUGCCAGCCGCCGCGGUAACACCGGCGGCCCGAGUGGUAACCGCUUUUAUUGGGUCUAAAGGGUCUGUAGCCGGCCAAAUAAGUCCCUUGGGAAAUCUGGCAGCUCAACUGUCAGGCUGCUAGGGGAUACUGCUAGGCUUGGGACCGGGAGAGGUGAGAGGUACCUUGGGGGUAGGGGUGAAAUCUUGUGAUCCUCGGGGGACCACCAGUGGCGAAGGCGUCUCACCAGAACGGGUCCGACGGUAAGGGACGAAAGCUAGGGGCACGAACCG
rnacentral:rRNA from 1 species